GAUGAACGCUGGCGGCGUGCCUAAUACAUGCAAGUCGAGCGCACGGACGAGAAGCUUGUUUCUCUGAUGUUAGCGGCGGACGGGUGAGUAACACGUGGAUAACCUACCUAUAAGACUGGGAUAACUUCGGGAAACCGGCGCUAAUACCGGAUGAUAUUUUGAACCGCAUGGUUCAAAAGUGAAAGACGGUCUUGCUGUCACUUAUAGAUGGAUCCGCGCUGCAUUAGCUAGUUGGUAAGGUAACGGCUUACCAAGGCAACGAUGCAUAGCCGACCUGAGAGGGUGAUGGGCCACACUGGAACUGGAACACGGUCCAGACUCCUACGGGAGGCAGCAGUAGGGAAUCUUCCGCAAUGGGCGAAGGCCUGACGGAGCAACGCCGCGUGGGUGAUGAAGGUCUUCGGAUCGUAAAACUCUGUUAUUAGGGAAGAACAUAUGUGUAAGUAACUGUGCACAUCUUGACGGUACCUAAUCAGAAAGCCACGGCUAACUACGUG
rnacentral:rRNA from 1 species